GCUGCUUUCGUCAGCCUCCAGGUCACAUAGGGAUGAGUGGAGUGAAGCAGAGGAAAAGGAAGGGACGGGGAAGAGGAAACAUCGAAAGCAAGAGAUGAAUGGGAGCUCUGCCACUGUUUCUUCUUUUGCUACUCUGUUUCAGCAGGGGCCUCUGGCCUCAUUUGUGUUCCCUGGGGACCACAGCUAUGGCACCAGAGCCGAAGUUAUCCUGAGUUCACCUCAGCUGAUCUGUAGGCAGCAACUUUAAGGAAGACACGUGUAGAGUGGCAAGUGGAAGGCAGGGUACUGCUGAGUCUGAGCUCUCCGAAAGAGUAGCCAUAGAAGACCAAAUUGCAUAAAUGAACCCCCUGGACAAGGACACCACUCUCCUGGAAAAAGGGUCUCAAUGUGAAAACCAACACACAAACAAGAUACUCUCAAGUAUUGCUCAGAACUGGGACCCGAGAAACACUGCAGGACUGGGAAGCAGACUGCUAUAAAUUGGCAUCAGGGAAAGUAUAUAUGUAUGGCUGACACUGGACCUGACCUUGGAACGGGAAGGAGCCAGCGAGGCAAAGAUCUGGAGAGCCUGGGCAAAGGUUCCACAGGUGCAAAGGUCCUGAGACUGCAGUCCACACACCUUCCAGAGCUCCCGAUCAGUACAGUCGGAAUUGCAGGCGUUACUUCAUUAAGACAAAGGAAACCACUUUCAGUCUUCUGUGACUUCCUCACUGCCUCCAAAUCCUCCAAGCUACUAUGAUUUUUUUUUCUUUCAGGAAAUUCUUCAAGGUUUAGUAAUCAGUGGUUUAUAAAAAAAAACCUGGCCUGUGAUUGAGUAACAAAAGUAAAGUUUUUUGUUUUGGGGGGGCGGGGGGAGGUUGGGGAGACUGCCCAGUUAGUAAAAGCACCUGCAUGAGUUUGGAUCCCCAGUAUCCACAUUUAAAAAAUAAGUGGGAGCAAGAGUGUAUGCCUUUUUCUUUUUUUCUUUUCUUUUCUUUUUUUCUUAUUAAGACAGGGUGUCACUAUGUCACUAUGACAUCUAUGUACAUCACUAUGUACACCUGGAACUCACUAUGUAGACUAGGUUGGCCUUGAACUCACAGAGAUCAGGAGGCCUGCCACUGCUUCUUGGGUGUUGGCACACUACCACACCUGGCCUAAGGAGUGCAUGCCUUUAAUUCUAGCACUGGGGAGGGAGCACAGGAAGCCCCCCCCCACCCCCCACCCCC
rnacentral:lncRNA from 1 species